UACAGAGGUCUCGAGCGUUAGGCGGAAUCACUGGGCUUAAAGCGUGUGUAGGUGGAUCGUUAAGUACCUUGUGAAAUCCCACGGCUUAACCGUGGAACUGCUUGGUAUACUGGCGGUCUUGAGCCACUUAGGGGCUACCGGAACAAAUGGUGGAGCGGUGAAAUGCGUAGAUAUCGGGAGGAACACCAGUGGCGAAGGCGGCUACCUGGACCAGCACUGACACUGAAGCACGAAAGCGUGGGGAGCAAACAGG
rnacentral:rRNA from 1 species